AUAUAUAUCAAGAGAAGAGCUAGAGCAAGCUCUGCGAGAAUUUGGUAUGAAUGACGAAAAUGAUUUGAGGGAAAUCAUUGAUGAAGUUGACACUGAUCAUGAUGGUCGGAUAAAUUACGAUGAGUUUGUAGCAAUGAUGAAGAAAGGAAAUCCUGAAGCAGCAACAAUGAACCCAAAGAAAAGAAGGGAUUCAUUUGUUGCAUAAAUUUUCAUCAUCAAUUAAUGAAAAAUGUCUCAAAAGAAUGAAAGACAAUUAUGUUAAUUGUCCUUGUUGUAGAGAAGACCAAACUAUUACAUAGUAAAAAUUUCAAGAACCAUUCAUGAGACAUUGUAUAUUAAAUAUGAUAUUAAGAAGAAACACACACAUACACACAUUUACAAAGAAUAGAUUGUAAAAGUCAUGGCUAUGUUGAGAUUUGAGGGUUAAUAGGAUCUUCUAAUGCCAAACGCAGUUUGGUUAAAGCUUUGAUCUGAAAAGAAUGGAGGUCUUUCAGAGUAUAUAUGUAUCGAUACUUCUGCAAUUUAGAAAGUAGGUUUAAAAGUUCAUUUUAAUCCGUUACCUCUCAGAUAUUUUUCGUGUAAACAUCAUAUUCAUUCACUCCAAUUGUGUUUGUUAGUACUUCGUUUUAUACCUCAACUCUAGAGAUGUAAUAUGUGCAAAUAAAUUAACACACGGAAGAAGAAAUAUACUUUUUUGUGUC